CUGGUCGGCAGCAUUUCCUCCCUCUCUCUCAUGUGUCUCCUCAUCGGUGAUGUCCAGCUGGUUGUCACGUGAUGUGGGAAAGCAACCUAAGAGAUGACAUGUCUGAACCAGCCGUGCCCCGCUGCUCACUCGUGGACUAAGGUUUCCUACUUCAGGAACAGCAGCAGUUACUUCCAGUUAACCUGUCCGUUGUGCGGGGCCGCCUGAGCGGUACAGAGCUGCACAGAAACUAGAUCAUGUACCCAACAUCAGAGCAGAUGACUCCUGAGAUGAACCUCCACAGUGAUUCCAGUGGCUUUGUCUGAAAAUAAAGACAAAAUUAGGU